rnacentral:rRNA from 1 species
CGCGUAGGCGGUUUUGUAAGUCGGAUGUGAAAGCCCCGGGCUCAACCUGGGAAUUGCAUUCGAUACUGCUUGACUAGAGUAUGGUAGAGGGAAGUGGAAUUCCAGGUGUAGCGGUGAAAUGCGUAGAUAUCUGGAGGAACAUCAGUGGCGAAGGCGACUUCCUGGACCAAUACUGACGCUGAGGUGCGAAAGCGUGGGGAGCAAACA